UACGAAGGGGGCUAGCGUUGUUCGGAAUCACUGGGCGUAAAGCGCACGUAGGCGGCUUGUUAAGUCAGAGGUGAAAGCCUGGAGCUCAACUCCAGAACUGCCUUUGAUACUGGCAAGCUCGAGGAUGGCAGAGGUUGGUGGAACUCCGAGUGUAGAGGUGAAAUUCGUAGAUAUUCGGAAGAACACCAGUGGCGAAGGCGGCCAACUGGCCCAUUACUGACGCUGAGGUGCGAAAGCGUGGGGAGCAAACAGG
rnacentral:rRNA from 1 species